rnacentral:SRP_RNA from 11 species
GUCCGUGGUGGCGUCCGCCCGUAGUCUGGAUACUUAGAGGCCAGGGUGAGGGAUUUCGAGGGACCGCAAGUACCGGCAUAUGGGUGUUCAUGAUGAUCGGGCGUCCAAGCUGGAUGACAUGUCGGUAGGGUUGUCAAGAUCGUCCAAGGAGGGGCACACCGGCCCAGGGGGAAACCCACCGGACGAAAUCCCUCGCGUGGUGCGGGAAAGAGAUUGCAAAUGAUGUCCAUGUAACAAUCUGGCUGACGCGUGAAGAUCGCCUCCUUA